GAUUAACGCUAGCGGCAGGCCUAAUACAUGCAAGUCGAACGGUAAGGUUCCUUCGGGAAUACACGAGUGGCGCACGGGUGCGUAACGCGUAUGCAACCUACCUUUAACUGGAGAAUAGCCCCGAGAAAUCGGGAUUAAUACUUCAUAACAAUAAGAAUUGGCAUCUUUUCUUAUUUAAAGCUCCGGCGGUUAAAGAUGGGCAUGCGUGACAUUAGUUAGUUGGUGAGGUAACGGCUCACCAAGACAGCGAUGUCUAGGGGGUUCUGAGAGGAUUUUCCCCCCACACUGGUACUGAGACACGGACCAGACUCCUACGGGUGGCAG
rnacentral:rRNA from 1 species